rnacentral:rRNA from 1 species
GACAGAGGUCCCGAGCGUUAGGCGGAAUCACUGGGCUUAAAGCGUGUGUAGGCGGCGGCCUAAGUACCUUGUGAAAUCCCACGGCUCACCCGUGGAACUGCUCGGUAUACUGGGUCGCUUGAGCCACUUAGGGGCUACCGGAACAAAUGGUGGAGCGGUGAAAUGCGUAGAUAUCAUUUGGAACGCCAAUGGUGAAGACGCUCGGCUGGGCCUGUCCUGACGCUGAGGCACGAAAGCGUGGGGAGCAAACAGG